rnacentral:rRNA from 1 species
CGCGUGUACUGGUCCGGCCGGGCCUUUCCCUCUGUGGAACCCCAUGCCCUUCACUGGGUGUGGCGGGGAAACAGGACUUUUACUGUGAAAAAAUUAGAGUGCUCCAGGCAGGCCUAUGCUCGAAUACAUUAGCAUGGAAUAAUAGAAUAGGACGUGUGGUUCUAUUUUGUUGGUUUCUAGGACCGCCGUAAUGAUUAAUAGGGACAGUCGGGGGCAUCAGUAUUCAAUUGUCAGAGGUGAAAUUCUUGGAUUUAUUGAAGACUAACUACUGUGAAAGCAUUUGCCAAGGAUGUUUUCAUUAAUCAGGAACGAAAGUUAGGGGAUCGAAGACGAUCAGAUACCGUCGUAGUCUUAACCAUAAACUAUGCCGACUAGGGAUCGGACGGUGUUAUAUUUUGACCCGUUCGGCACCUUACGAGAAAUCAAAGUGCUUGGGCUCCAGGGGGAGUAUGGUCGCAAGGCUGAAACUUAAAGAAAUUGACGGAAGGGCACCACCAGGGGUGGAGCCUGCGGCUUAAUUUGACUCAACACGGGGAAACUCACCAGGUCCAGACACAAUGAGGAUUGACAGAUUGAGAGCUCUUUCUUGAUUUUGUGGGUGGUGGUGCAUGGCCGUUCUUAGUUGGUGGAGUGAUUUGUCUGCUUAAUUGCGAUAACGAACGAGACCUUAACCUGCUAAAUAGCCCGUAUUGCUUUGGCAGUACGCUGGCUUCUUAGAGGGACUAUCGG